rnacentral:snRNA from 1 species
AUACUUACCUGGUAGGGGAGAUACCAUGAUCAUGAAGGUGAUUUUCCCAGGGUGAGGCUAAUCCAUUGCACUCUGGGUGAGCUAAAAAAAGAAAGAAAGAAAGAAAAGAAAGAAAGAAAACUUGCAUGAUAGCUACUAUGUUAGCAUGGUUCCUGA